GCUCAGGAUGAACGCUAGCGGCAGGCUUACACAUGCAAGUCGAGGGGUAACAGGUUCUUUCGGGAAUGCUGACGACCGGCGCACGGGUGAGUAACGCGUAUGCAACCUUCCUGUAUCAGGAGGAUAGGCCUUGGAAACGAGGAUUAAUACUGCGUAAUAUUAUUUUAUCGCAUGGUAAGAUAAUCAAAUUUACGAAGGAUACAGAUGGGCAUGCGUACCAUUAGCUAGAUGGUAAGGUAACGGCUUACCAUGGCUAUGAUGGUUAGGGGUUCUGCAAGGAAGAUCCCCCACACUGGUACUGAGACACGGACCAGACUCCUACGGGAGGCAGCAGUGAGGAAUAUUGGUCAAUGGAGGCAACUCUGAACCAGCCAAGCCGCGUGAAGGAAGACUGUUCUAUGAAUUGUAAACUUCUUUUGUGACAGAGUAAAGAUAGCUACGUGUAGUUGUAUGCAAGUAUGUCAUGAAUAAGCAUCGGCUAACUCCGUGCCAGCAGCCGCGGUAAUACGGAGGAUGCAGGCGUUAUCCGGAUCUAUUCAGGUCCAAAGGCUGUUCAGGCUGUCUGGUAAGUCAGAGGUGACAGUCGGUCGCUUAACGAUCGAAUUGCCUUUGAAACUGUCAGACUUGAGUAUGGAUGUGGUAGGCGGAAUGUGUAGUG
rnacentral:rRNA from 1 species